CCUACGGGAGGCAGCAGUGGGGAAUCUUGCGCAAUGGCCUAACGGCUGACGCAGCGACGCCGCGUGAGGGAUGACGCUCUUCGGAGUGUAAACCUCUUUUGCCUGGAACGAACUAUCAGCAUUCGCUGAUUUGACGGUACCGGGUGAAUAAGCACCGGCUAACUCCGUGCCAGCAGCCGCGGUAAUACGGGGGGUGCGAGCGUUGUCCGGAAUCACUGGGCGUAAAGGGCGCGUAGGUGGCAUGAUAAGGGUGUGGUGAAAGCCCGGGGCUCAACCCCGGGUCGGCCAUGCCGACUGUCACGCUGGAGUACUGUAGGGGCAGGCGGAAUUCCGGGUGUAGCGGUGGAAUGCGUAGAGAUCCGGAGGAAGACCGGUGGCGAAGGCGGCCUGCUGGGCAGUUACUGACACUGAGGCGCGACAGCGUGGGGAGCAAACAGGAUUAGAUACCCUGGUAGUCCACGCCGUAAACGAUGGGUACUAGGUGCCUGGGGGAGCGACCCCUUGGGUGCCGGCGCUAACGCAGGAAGUACCCCGCCUGGGGAGUACGGCCGCAAGGCUGAAACUCAAAGGAAUUGAC
rnacentral:rRNA from 1 species